UACGGAGGGUGCAAGCGUUAAUCGGAAUUACUGGGCGUAAAGCGCACGUAGGUGGUUUGUUAAGCCAGCUGUGAAAUCCCCGGGCUCAACCUGGGAAUUGCGGUUGGAACUGGCAAGCUAGAGUAGGGUAGAGGGGUGUGGAAUUCCAGGUGUAGCGGUGAAAUGCGUAGAUAUCUGGAGGAACAUCAGUGGCGAAGGCGACACCCUGGACUCAUACUGACACUGAGGUGCGAAAGCGUGGGGAGCAAACAGG
rnacentral:rRNA from 1 species